rnacentral:lncRNA from 1 species
AUGAAUUGUGCCAUUUGUUGCAGUGUUUGUCUCUCUCUUUCUCCCUGGAGGAUACCAACAGCUUAUAAAAGGCAGAAGUCAAAUUAACUAUAAUUUGGAAAUAAUACAUUAAAAAGAUGUUUGAAAUGAGAGAGUUACAGUAAAGUAAUAUUUACAGAAGCAAACCUGAUGUCUCAGGAAUUUCUGUUGUAGUGUAUAACAAUUGUUUUAAUUUUGUCUUCCAGACUCUUUAUGAGAGUUGAAAAGUAAAGACCAUGAGGUACUUCUUCAGCUACAGAAACUUGAGAUUUUUUGCCAUCCACCUCCAGAAGUGUCCUCUUCCACUUCAAUACCUCUGCCUUUUGGAUAGGCUUGACAUGAACAGUAAUCAGCAACAAAAAGUGCGCCUAAAGUGAACUGUAAUCAGUGGGAAGUAACUGAAGUGAAAUAUUUUCAUACAGAGGUCAUCAUUUUCUUGUGGAAAAUGGUACAAGUACAUAAUUACUUCAAAGCAGGUAUGUCUGGCCUUCAGGUUGCAAGUGGCCCAGGACAGCUAGUAAUAUGUCCCACUCCAUGCCAGUGUACCAUCAUGGCGGUAGCUCUCCUCCACUGAGUGGCCUGGCCCAGCCUUAGGCAGCACCUAUCACUCAACAACAGCCAAAGCAUUGGCCCAAAACAAUCCCUCUUGUUUGAGUGUGGGCCAGAGAAACCUGAGCAUUAAAUUAAUGUAUAAUUUUGUCAUGAAAUGAGGAUGAAUGUAAAAACAUUUUAAGAGCUUCAAAAAUAAGGAAGAUGCUUGAUAAAAAUGUCGUUUAAGAACAAUUGAAAUGAGCCAGGUUUAUUUCUUUAAAUCAAAUGAACUUCAAAUAAUUGGCUUGAUGUAAACUGACAAAUUACUUCAGCUUAUCUGAACACAAAUGCUCGUGUGCGCAAACAGCUCAGCAGUAUUAAAAUAAGAACAUGUAUAUUUUCAAUUUGAAUUGAGAUUUUAAGAAUACAGAUACCCUCCAGACUAAAGUGCACAAGCUAGAAUUUGAAACACAUUUGUGGAAAAAUGCAAAUAUUUCUUGCAUGAAUUGUAAUGGGGCUGUAACUUUAUUGUUUAUAGCUGAGAUUAAAGAUAUGCAUUAUAGCCAAAGUGAAAACAGUUGUGAGUGAAUCGGAGAUUUCUCUUCAUUACACAGAAGUAUUAGAUAGAUACUGACAGUUAGCAAAGCAAGCCCUAGAGUUUCAAAUCCAUGUCUAGAGCCAUUAGUUCAAGUCAGGUUCCACCAAUUUCUUUUACCAUGAGCAGGAGACAUGCAAAACAUCACCUUCAAUGGCCGAGUCCAAAGAUUUUUAUAAUAUAGCUUUACCCUGAGGGUAAAAAGCUGAAACACAAAAAGGACCUUUGUUUCUAUGUUGAUUAUUGCAGAAGAUUUUAGGAGAAUAAAAACAGGGAUGGAAUUGAAGAAACA